rnacentral:lncRNA from 1 species
CGGAAGCGCACAGAGGUUUCAGUGCUGCCUGGCAGGGGAAACCCACCCUGCUGAGAGCCCACCCAGAGUGGGGAAAGCCAGGUGUCUCAAGGCAGCAUUCCUAUCUCAACAUGCCCCUCUCUAGAGCCUCUCUUUGCUUUCAAAGUGACAGGACCCUCCUCCCAGCCCUGGGCACAUAAAGCUCAAAUCUCAUUACCAUGCUGUGGGCCAGCAGCCAGCAUCCUUUUGCAAAGCAAGGCCCCCAUCUCUGUGCACCUCUAGGCUACCAUCUUGGAUCAGCCCCAACAGAACCUGGAACCAGAGCAUGUCAGAGCUUGUGAGGUUCUCCUCUCAGUGGGUGGUGAGUCACUCGCCACCCAUAUACCCAUGUCAGAGCCUCAGUUUUCUUUUCCCCAACUGCUCCUUCAUUCUCUCCCCUUCUCUAAUCUAAUUUGUCACCAUAGUCUCCUGUCUGGCCUCCUGAGAAUCUCCGUGAAUCUGUCUACUUCUCAGGGUCCUCAUGGCCAGCCACUGCCCUGAUGCAGGCCCUGACCAGGGAUGCUUUUCCCAAAUCUAGAUCUGAUGGAGUCACUGCCUGCUUGGCACCCAGAAGCAGCUCUCCAGGCCUUCUGGGGCUACUGAGAGUGAGAGACCUAGAGGGGUCUCUAGGACUCACCACACUCUGCCCAAAGCAGAUUAGGUGAACAAACUCCUUAAUCUGCAAGUCAAGAUCUUGGAGGACUUGGACCUUGAAUGCUCCAGUUUGUUUCGCUACCAUCCUCUGCACCUGGAGUUUCCCCACCAACUCACCCACCCAUUCUCACUUCUGUGCCUCUGCUGUUUCCUGGGCCUGGAAGCCCUUCUGUGUACCUUCCUCCGUGGACAACUCCUACUCAUCCGCUAAGACUCACCUCCUCCAGUUGCAAGAUGCAUUGUUGCAAGUUUCGACAGUGGGGAGUGAAGCCUCGUUACAUGUCAGCAUCAAUUGGAAAAUGCAUCCUGAUGUUGGAAAUGCUGAUAUAUAUAUUUAAAGAGGACAUACUGUCCCCCACUGUCACUGGUGCCCCUAGUUCAUCCUUUGCUCCCAGUGCCCACCACAGGACCCGACUCAAAGGCAUCAGUGUUUGAUGAGUGAAUGAAUGAGUGAAUGAGCUCUUGGAACACAUGGGUUUUGGGGUGGAACAAGGCCAGAUGCCACAACAUGAAGCCUCUAACCUCCUCUCCCCACAGCCCUGUCCUGACUCCUCUGGACUGC